UACGGAGGGUGCAAACGUUGUUCGGAAUUACUGGGCGUAAAGCGCGUGUAGGCGGUUAUGCAAGUCGGGUGUGAAAGCCCCGGGCUCAACCCGGGAAGUGCAUUCGAUACUGCGUAGCUAGAGUACUGGAGAGGAUGGUGGAACUCUCGGUGUAGAGGUGAAAUUCGUAGAUAUCGAGAAGAACACCGGUGGCGAAGGCGGCCAUCUGGACAGAUACUGACGCUGAGACGCGAAAGCGUGGGGAGCAAACAGGAUUAGAUACCCGUGUAGU
rnacentral:rRNA from 1 species